AUGCCAGAGCAGGUGGCGGCCUUCAGGACCAGGGCGCUGCUGUGUCCGUGGGCCUGGAAGGAGUCACCUGGUGCCGCUGGAAGGGCUGAUCCUACAGAGGGGACCAGAGGGCUGGCCUUACGCCUGCCCUGGACCAUGCCAUACACACAUGUGCACGUGCACACACAGGUGCGUACACACAUGCACACAUGCAUGCACACAUACAUGCCCCAUGUACACACAUUGUGCACAUACAUGCAGGUGCAUGCACACAUACAUGCCCCAUGUACACACAUUGUGCACAUACACACAUGCACACAUGCAUGCAUGCACACAUACAUGCCCCAUGUACACACAUUGUGCACAUACACGCAUGCACACAUGCAUGCACACAUACAUGCCCCAUGUACACACAUUGUGCACAUACAUGCAGGUGCAUGCACACAUACAUGCCCCAUGUACACACAUUGUGCACAUACACACAUGCACACAUGCAUGCACACAUGCAUGCACACAUACAUGCCCCAUGUACACACAUUGUGCACAUACACGCAGGUGCAUGCACACAUGCAUGCAUGCAUGCCCCACGUACACACAUGCACACAUGUGCACAUGCACACACGUGUGUAUAUGCACAUAAGCACACAUGCAUGCAUACACGCCCCAUGUGCAUGCAUGCACACAUGUGUGCGUGUGCAUAUGCCCAUGCACAUGUGCGUGCAUGCAUGCCCCCAUGUACAUGCAUGCACACAUGUGUGUGCAGAUUCAUAUGCCCAUGUACACACGCAUGCAUGCCCCAUGUACAAUCAUGCACACAUAUGUGCACACAGGUACAUAUGCCCAUGCAUGCAUGCAUACAUGCCCGUGUACUUGCAUGCACACACGUAUACAUUCAUGUACAUGCCCGUGUACAUUCAUGAUUGCACAUGCAUGUGCACACACACAUACCACCAAUCCCAGAAGGAACAGAAAUACUCUCCCAGCCCAGGGUGGUUUUCUCUGAGACUAAAUGUGAGAAAGGGGAUUGGCGCACUGUCCCAUGUCCCUGAUGCUCUAGGCCCUAGACAGGCACAUCCCAGGAACCAAGAUUGUCCAACCAGAGGUGGGCCUCCCACCACCCUCCAGCCCCUGCCCAGCGCCCGGCGCCUUGGGAAACCCCAGCCCUCCUCUCAGAGCCCCCCCACUACAGGCUUCUCCUCCUACGCUGUCUUCCUCCCCCAGAAAGGACAGAGCUGCUAG
rnacentral:lncRNA from 1 species